rnacentral:rRNA from 1 species
GUUGUAUGGUUAAGUGACUAAGCGUACACGGUGGAUGCCUUGGCAGUUGGAGGCGAUGAAGGACGUAUUAACUUGCGAUAAGCCUAGUCAAGCUAGUAAAAAGCACUUGAGACUAGGAUUUCCGAAUGGGGAAACCCACCUGCUUGCAGGUAUCGUUAACUGAAUACAUAGGUUAACGAGGCGAACGCGGAGAACUGAAACAUCUAAGUACCCGUAGGAAAAGAAAUCAACCGAGAUUCCGAUAGUAGCGGCGAGCGAAAUCGGAACAGCCCUUAAGCUUAUUAUGUGUUAAUGGAAGGCUCUGGAAAGUGCCACGAUACAGGGUGAUAGUCCCGUACAUGAAAAUGCAUUUUAAGUGAAAUCGAGUAGGUCGGAGCACGUGAAACUUUGACUGAAUAUAGGUGGACCAUCAUCUAAGGCUAAAUACUCCCAACUGACCGAUAGUGAACCAGUACCGUGAGGGAAAGGCGAAAAGAACCCCUGUGAGGGGAGUGAAAUAGAACCUGAAACCGUGUACGUACAAGCAGUAGGAGCCCACUUGUUGGGUGACUGCGUACCUUUUGUAUAAUGGGUCAGCGACUUAUAUUUUGUAGCGAGGUUAACCGAUUAGGGUAGCCGUAGGGAAACCGAGUCUUAACUGGGCGAAUAGUUGCAAGGUAUAGACCCGAAACCCGGUGAUCUAGCCAUGGGCAGGUUGAAGGUUGAGUAACAUCAACUGGAGGACCGAACCCACUAACGUUGAAAAGUUAGGGGAUGACCUGUGGUUAGGAGUGAAAGGCUAAUCAAACCGGGAGAUAGCUGGUUCUCCCCGAAAUCUAUUUAGGUAGAGCCUCGGACGAAUACUUACGGGGGUAGAGCACUGUUAAGGCUAGGGGGUCAUCCCGACUUACCAACCCUUUGCAAACUCCGAAUACCGUAAAGUAAUAUCCGGGAGACACACGGCGGGUGCUAACGUCCGUCGUGAAGAGGGAAACAACCCAGACCGCCAGCUAAGGUCCCAAAGUCAUAGUUAAGUGGGAAACGAUGUGGAAAGGCCCAGACAGCCAGGAGGUUGGCUUAGAAGCAGCCAUCCUUUAAAGAAAGCGUAAUAGCUCACUGGUCGAGUCGGUCUGCGCGGAAGAUGUAACGGGGCUAAACUAUGCACCGAAGCUGCGGAUUCAAAAUUUAUUUUGAGUGGUAGGGGAGCGUUCUGUAAGCGGUUGAAGGUGUACCGGGAGGUAUGCUGGACGUAUCAGAAGUGCGAAUGCUGACAUGAGUAACGAUAAUGCGGGUGAAAAACCCGCACGCCGGAAGACCAAGGGUUCCUAUCCCAUGUUAAUCAGGGUAGGGUAAGUCGACCCCUAAGGCGAGGCCGAAAGGCGUAGUCGAUGGGAAACGGAUUAAUAUUUCCGUACUUGGUAUAAUUGCGAUGGGGGGACGGAGCAGGCUAAGCAAGCAUGGCGAUGGUAGUCCAUGUGAAAGUGUGUAGGCUAGCGACUUAGGUAAAUCCGGGUUGCUGUUAGGCUGAGACACGAGACGAGUCACCAAGGUGAUGAAGUUGCUGAUGCCAUACUUCCAGGAAAAGCCUCUAAGCUUCAGAUUAUACCGAAUCGUACCCCAAACCGACACAGGUGGUCAGGUAGAGAAUACUAAGGCGCUUGAGAGAACUCGGGUGAAGGAACUAGGCAAAAUCGUACCGUAACUUCGGGAGAAGGUACGCUCCGAUUGGUGAUGGGACUUGCUCCCUAAGCUGAUUGGAGCCGCAGUGACCAGGUGGCUGGGACUGUUUAUUAAAAACACAGCACUGUGCAAAAUCGCAAGAUGACGUAUACGGUGUGACACCUGCCCGGUGCCGGAAGGUUAAUUGAUGGGGUUAUCUUCGGAGAAGCUCUUGAUCGAAGCCCCGGUAAACGGCGGCCGUAACUAUAACGGUCCUAAGGUAGCGAAAUUCCUUGUCGGGUAAGUUCCGACCUGCACGAAUGGUGUAACCAUGGCCACGCUGUCUCCACCCGAGACUCAGUGAAAUUGAAAUCGCAGUGAAGAUGCUGUGUACCCGCGGCUAGACGGAAAGACCCCGUGAACCUUUACUACAGCUUGGCACUGAACAUUGAACCUACAUGUGUAGGAUAGGUGGGAGACUUAGAAGCAGAGACGCUAGUUUUUGUGGAGUCGUCCUUGAAAUACCACCCUUGUAGUUUUGAUGUUCUAACGUUGGCCCCUGAAUCGGGGUUACGGACAGUGCCUGGUGGGUAGUUUGACUGGGGCGGUCUCCUCCCAAAGAGUAACGGAGGAGCACGAAGGUUGGCUAAGUACGGUCGGACAUCGUACGGUUAGUGUAAUGGUAGAAGCCAGCUUAACUGCGAGACAGACACGUCGAGCAGGUACGAAAGUAGGUCAUAGUGAUCCGGUGGUUCUGAAUGGAAGGGCCAUCGCUCAACGGAUAAAAGGUACUCCGGGGAUAACAGGCUGAUACCGCCCAAGAGUUCAUAUCGACGGCGGUGUUUGGCACCUCGAUGUCGGCUCAUCACAUCCUGGGGCUGAAGUCGGUCCCAAGGGUAUGGCUGUUCGCCAUUUAAAGUGGUACGCGAGCUGGGUUUAGAACGUCGUGAGACAGUUCGGUCCCUAUCUGCCGUGGGCGUUUGAGAAUUGAGAGGGGUUGCUCCUAGUACGAGAGGACCGGAGUGAACGAACCGCUGGUGUUCGGGUUGUCAUGCCAAUGGCAUUGCCCGGUAGCUACGUUCGGAACUGAUAAGCGCUGAAAGCAUCUAAGCGCGAAGCAGGCCUCGAGAUGAGUUCUCACUAGACUUUUAAAGUCUCUGAAGGGCCGUUGAAGACUACAACGUUGAUAGGCAAGAUGUGGAAGUGGUGUGAGCCAUUAAGCUAACUUGUACUAAUUACCCGUGAGGCUUAACCAUACAACGCCAAACGCGUUU